UUCCGGUUGAUCCUGCCGGACCUGACUGCUAUCGGAUUGGUACUAAGCCAUGCGAGUCGUUGUACAAUACAAGGCGGACUGCUCAGUAACACGUAGUUAACUUAACCUAUGGAUGGGCAUAACCUCGGGAAACUGAGAAUAAUACCCAAUGGACCACAGUGCCUGGAAUGGCCUGUGGUUGAAAUGAUUUAUCGCCGUAGGAUAGGACUGCGGCCUAUCAGCUUGUUGGUGAGGUAAUGGCCCACCAAGGCUAUAACAGGUACGGGCUCUGAGAGGAGGGGCCCGGAGAUGGGUACUGAGACACGGACCCAGGCCCUAUGGGGCGCAGCAGGCGAGAAACCUUUGCAAUGUGCGAAAGCACGACAAGGUUAAUCCGAGUGUCUCCUGCUAAAGGAGUCUUUUGUCAGUUGUAGAAUCACUGGUGAAUAAGGGGUGGGCAAGUUCUGGUGUCAGCCGCCGCGGUAAAACCAGCACCUCGAGUGGUCAGGAGGUUUAUUGGGCCUAAAGCAUCCGUAGCCGGUUGCAUAAGUUUU
rnacentral:rRNA from 1 species